AGCUAGUUGGUGAGGUAAUGGCCCACCAAGGCGACGAUCGGUAGCCGGACUNAGAGGUUGAACGGCCACAUUGGGACUGAGACACGGCCCAGACUCCUACGGGAGGCAGCAUG
rnacentral:rRNA from 1 species